CUUGGUCAUUUAGAGGAAGUAAAAGUCGUAACAAGGUUUCCGUAGGUGAACCUGCGGAAGGAUCAUUAAUGAAACUUGGAGAUUCUGAUGCUGGCGUUUAUUCGCAUGUGCUCGGUCUCCUUAAUCCAUUCAACACCUGUGCACCUUUGUGAAGGAGAACGAAAGUUCACCUUCAUUUUAUAUACAAACUCUUUAUUGAAAUCUGAAUGUUCAUUGGCCGAAAGGCUCUAAAAUAAAACAACUUUUAACAACGGAUCUCUUGGCUCUCGCAUCGAUGAAGAACGCAGCGAAAUGCGAUAAGUAAUGUGAAUUGCAGAAUUCAGUGAAUCAUCGAAUCUUUGAACGCACCUUGCGCUCCCUGGUAUUCCGGGGAGCACGCCUGUUCGAGUGUCAUGAAGCUCUCAAAUGGAAUCCUUUAUUGUGAUUUUCAUUUGGAUUUGGACUCUGCUGUGGUCAAAUACAGCUGGUCUUAAAAAUAUUAGCUUGGUCCUUGAUAAUCUUGGUUCUACUCGGCGUGAUAAUUAUCUAACGUUGAGGACAUUUCUUUAUUGAGAUGGCCAGAAUUGUUUAAGAACUGCUUCUAAUCGUCUUCGGACAUAACACUUUCAAAUCUGACCUCGAAUCAGGUGGGACUACCCGCUGAACUUAAGCAUAUCAAUAAGCGGAGGAAAAGAAACUAACAAGGAUUCCCCUAGUAACGGCGAGUGAAGCGGGAUGAGCUCAAAUUUAAAAUCUGGCGGUCUUUGGCCGUCCGAGUUGUAAUCUAGAGAAGCGUUUUCCGCGCUGGACCGUGUACAAGUUUCCUGGAACGGAACGUCAUAGAGGGUGAGAAUCCCGUCCUUGACACGGACUACCAGUGCUCUGUGAUGCGCUCUCAACGAGUCGAGUUGUUUGGGAUUGCAGCUCAAAAUGGGAGGUAAAUUCCUUCUAAAGCUAAAUAUUGGCGAGAGACCGAUAGCGAACAAGUACCGUGAGGGAAAGAUGAAAAGCACUUUGGAAAGAGAGUUAAACAGUACGUGAAAUUGUUAAAAGGGAAACGCUUGAAGU
rnacentral:rRNA from 1 species